rnacentral:rRNA from 1 species
CUACGGGACGCACCAGUCGAGAAUCUUCCGCAAUGCGCGAAAGCGUUACGGAGCAAUGCCGCGUGGUGGAUGAAGGCCUUAGGGUUGUAAACACCUGUCACAUGGGACGAAUUUUGACGGUACCAUGAGAGGAAGCCACGGCUAACUACGUGCCAGCAGCCGCGGUAAUACGUAGGUGGCGAGCGUUGUUCGGAUUUAUUGGGCGUAAAGGGUCCGCAGGGGGUUUGCUAAGUCUGAUGUGAAAUCCCGGGGCUCAACCCCGGAACUGCAUUGGAAACUGGUGAACUAGAGUAUCGGAGAGGUAAAGGGAAUUCCUGGUGUAGCGGUGGAAUGCGUAGAUAUCAGGAAGAACACCGAGAGCGAAGGCAAUUUACUGGACGAUCACUGACCCUCAGGGACGAAAGCGUAGGUAGCGAACAGGAUUAGAUACCCGCGUAGUC